rnacentral:rRNA from 1 species
GAUGAACGCUGGCGGCGUGCCUAAUACAUGCAAGUCGAGCGAACAGACGAGGAGCUUGCUCCUCUGACGUUAGCGGCGGACGGGUGAGUAACACGUGGAUGACCUACCUAUAAGACUGGGAUAACUUCGGGGAACCGGAGCUAAUACCGGAUAAUAUAUUGAACCGCAUGGUUCAAUAGUGAAAGACGGUUUUGCUGUCACUUAUAGAUGGAUCCGCGCCGCAUUAGCUAGUUGGUAAGGUAACGGCUUACCAAGGCAACGAUGCGUAGCCGACCUGAGAGGGUGAUCGGCCACACUGGAACUGAGACACGGUCCAGACUCCUACGGUAGGCAGCAGUAGGGAAUCUUCCGCAAAGGGCGAAAGCCUGACGGAGCAACGCCGCGUGAGUGAUGAAGGUCUUCGGAUCGUAAAACUCUGUUAUUAGGGAAGAACAAAUGUGUAAGUAACUAUGCACGUCUUGACGGUACCUAAUCAGAAAGCCACGGCUAACUACGUG